UCGGGUUCUUUGGGGUUUCGUUAAAUGAAGUGUGCUGGUCUCUUCCUGGGAAGAUGCAGCUAUAGGGAAGGGUGGCUUUGAGUCAGAAAACAGGAGGCCGCCCUGUCUCGCUCUCCUGCCCUCCUGCCUGUCCAAGGGCUUCUCAGUAUUCAACAGCUUCACUAGUUAGUAAAGGUCUGGCCACCUUCUGUCCUCACCCAGCAAAGCUGUGUGCAGUCAGUUUCAUCUGCUUGGAGCCUCGCCCACCAGGGCCACGCCCACCAGAACCACGCCCAGCCCCUCUGGCCUGCCAAACAGAAGCUGGGCAGUCUCUAGGGACAGCAAUUGGAUGGCAUGGUGAUACUCUCCCAUUCUUCCCUAAGCUCUUGGAAUGAAAUCCAAGGUCUCAAGCCUGGCGAGGAGCCAUCCAGGCAGGAGACAAGCCUAAAGAGCCGCUGGCUCCCAGACCACAAGUGAACCUCCUGGUGCUCACAGAACUGACACACUAUUCUGGUCAGAGCAUCUGACGGCCAGCAGGGGGCUGGCUCCGUAGGCUGGGCUGCUUGGAGCCAGGCAUACUAGCAUGUCUAUGAUCCCAGUCCUCCGGAGCCUAAGGUCAGAAGGUCAAGUUCAAGGUCAGUUUGGGACAUUUAUCAAGACUGACUCAAAGACUACAGCAAAUAAAUGAAACACCCAAAACCAAAAACAAGGGCUUGGCAAGAUGGGUCAAUGGUCAG